GCGGCGUAUUAGCUAGUUGGUGAGAUAAAGGCUCACCAAGGCAGUGAUACGUAGCCGACCUGAGAGGGUAAUCGGCCACAUUGGGACUGAGACACGGCCCAGACUCCUACGGGAGGCAGCAGUAGGGAAUCUUCCACAAUGGACGCAAGUCUGAUGGAGCAACGCCGCGUGAGUGAUGAAGGCUUUCGGGUCGUAAAACUCUGUUGUUGGAGAAGAACGUGUGUGAGAGUAACUGCUCAUGCAGUGACGGUAUCCAACCAGAAAGCCACGGCUAACUACGUGCCAGCAGCCGCGGUAAUACGUAGGUGGCAAGCGUUAUCCGGAUUUAUUGGGCGUAAAGCGAGCGCAGGCGGUCUUUUAAGUCUAAUGUGAAAGCCUUCGGCUUAACCGAAGAAGUGCAUUGGAAACUGGGGAGACUUGAGUGCAGAAGAGGAGAGUGGAACUCCAUGUGUAGCGGUGAAAUGCGUAGAUAUAUGGAAGAACACCAGUGGCGAAGCGGCUCUCUGGUCUGCAACUGACGCUGAGCUCGAAAGCAUGGGUAGCGAACAGAUUA
rnacentral:rRNA from 1 species